rnacentral:tRNA from 1 species
GUUCUUGUAGUUGAGAUGCAACAACGGUGGUUUUUCAGGCCACAGGUCCUGGAGAGAGGCCAGGCAGGAACU